rnacentral:lncRNA from 1 species
UUGCGAAAGCUGUCUUUGGCCUAGCGGCCUCAAGUGUAUUUAGCAAGAAGAGAUGUUUGAAAGUUUUGGUGUUGUCCGCCAUUAGCAUCAUCAAGGCUUCCAAUGUAGGAAGACCACUAUUUCUCCAUGGUGAUUUGAUCUUUCUUAUUGCCUUAUUGGUACAGUACUAAUUAACCAGCAAUUCCCAGAUCAUAUCUAAAAAAAGAAAGAGUAGCUCCAAUACAAGGAUUAGAAGAAAGAGUGAGCAUUAUAAAUACCAAACUAAAAGGG